UCACUCCGCCGUCCAUAGCAACGCCGUUGCUAAGGACGACGUUUUCGCGGGCGGCGGGCUGAAAUUUCAUCCGAGUUGUUGACAGCCGAUUACAUCACCAGUUUCGGCCUCUGCAUCAAGAUGGCGAUCAUCCUAGGCUUCACCGACUGUAAAAUUGGUGAAAGCCAUGCCCAACAGGAUUGUCACCAGCAGGAUACCAGGAUGUUAUAUUUAGCUUGAGAUUAUGGAUAUAUAUAUAAGAUGUAUUAUGUACAG